UUGAUUAAAUGACUUUGAUUUGGCUACGCAUUAGUGUGUAUGGCUGUGUAACACGUUGGCUGUAUGGGGUGUCGAAAUCAAUAUACCAUUCUGUAUGGCAUAAUCAAAAAAACACAGACCGGGUAGCUCUCACUCACUUGGGUUUAAUCGUGGCUAAAUGAUCACUGUCUAGACUGGCUGGGAUGAGGCAUUAACUAUUCUAUAAACCGUGUUUAUUAGGUUUGAACAUUGGAACAACAAAACAAACUCCUGGAAUCUGAGCUCGAGACUCUCCAGAACCGCUCUAUCAAACCAUCGGCUCUGAGGCUGCUCUGUGAAGAACAACUUCGAACUGAAGAAGAUUGCUGAUCAAAUGAAAGUCCAAAGCGAAAUCGAAGAGCUAAUGAAGAUGAUAUAUAACGCAGCUGCUUCAGUUGGUAUUGCAUUUUCCAUCCCCGGCCUGGCGACCACUCUGAAACAGAUUCAAGCUCAAUAUGAAGCUAUCGCGGCAAAAAAACUACAGAUUCAGGGCAAAGAAAGAGAGAAGUGGAGUGCUUGAAAAACAGAAACGUUGCUUUGGAAACGCAAAUUAAGGAAGCGCAAGAGAAGCACAAGAAGAAGACCUGCAGGAAAAUUUACUGCAGCUCCAACAGGACCUGAAAACUACCAAGGAGAAAAUUGCCCUCCACCUAUGUGAAUAUCAGGAUUUAUUGAAUAUUAAAAUGGCUCUUGAUAUUUAAAUUACCACAUACAGGAAACUGAUUGAAGGUGAAGAUUAAAGGCUGAGCACCAUGGUGAGAAGCAUGCAUAUAAUGAGUGGAAGUAUUGGACAUGGCAGGGUCGGGCACCGCGUUGGACAAGGCUUUGGACACGGGCACAUUGGUGCCAUUGAGAGCAUUUCCAAAGAACAGGCGGUGGAGAUGACUGAGAGAAAAACUGUACUCAUCAGUUAAAACAGAUGAGGACAAGGUACUUAAAGACACCCAAGAGAGGACAAUAACCAUUACUGGUGCUGGGGACAACACCGAUGGGGACUAAGUGAGGGAGUUUGUAACCAAAUAAUAAAAAUAAAAUAAUAUUACUUGGAGCAUUUGUGAAUUAAUAUUUCUAACAAUGAGUGCCUUGAAAUACUGUAUGCCCUGGAAUGGUCUUGCAAAUGUACCUUGUGCCUUGGCUUCUGUGAACAGAAAUAAAGUUAUCAAAAAUCUAUUUGUCCUUUGUGUAAAUGUAUUAUUAUUAUAAAUUGUACAUAGCCUCUACUCUAUUAUCAAACAAGACAUUCUAAAUGUGUUAUCUUAAUUAAGGUAUAUAUUGUUUACAGAACUGAUUUAAGUGUUAUAUUUUGUUAUUAAGGUUAAAAUAUGAACAAAUGUGUGAACUAUGAGCUGUUAUAGGUGCACUAUACAAUAACUAUAAUCUAACAUUGCUUUUUUUGCAUAUGUGACAGGGUGCCCACCCCUUAUGUAUAUUUAGGUAUUAUUAUUAUUAUUAUUAUUAUUAUUAUUAUUAUUAUUAUUAUUAUUAUUAUUAUUAUAUGGGGUUUAUGUGCAGACAGACAACAACCGUUCGUCAUUAUAUUUAUUAUUUGAGACUGGCAAAAAGUUGUUCUCUUGAAGUGUAAUUGGCAAUGAUGUGGUUAAAUACCACAUCCCUAUAAAACCCGUGGGAAUGUGGCUGGAGCCUUAUUAAGGUAAUUUAUUAAUAGGUAAUUAAGAUUCCAGCUGCAAAUAUAAAAGACCCACUCCGCACUCAUUAAGAGAGCUGAAGAGAGAAAGAGCGAAUGCUACCAACCGACGAAAGUCAAAGGUACUCUUUGUUAUAAAAGACCUUAUUGUUUAUAUUUAUUUUGUUACGGCCAAUGUGUCUUUUUCUUUGAGUGUUUUUGUAAAAGUGUUUUUUUUUUCUUUAUUAAAUAAAUACACGGCUGCGGCCGUUUCA